ACGCUCGACACCUACGAGGCAGCAGUCGGGAAUAUUGCGCAAUGGAGGAAACUCUGACGCAGUGACGCCGCGUAUAGGAAGAAGGUUUUCGGAUUGUAAACUAUUGUCGUUAGGGAAGAAAAAGGACAGUACCUAAGGAGGAAGCUCCGGCUAACUACGUGGCAGCAGCCGCGGUAAUCUGAGCGGGCUGGCAAGGC
rnacentral:rRNA from 1 species